rnacentral:rRNA from 1 species
ACCGCCUCUGCUAAAGAGGAGGAAGGAAUGGGCAACGGUAGGUCAGCAUGCCCCGAAUUAUCUGGGCUACACGCGGGCUACAAUGGGUGGGACAAUGGGUAUCGACACCGAAAGGUGAAGGCAAUCUCCUAAACCCAUCCUUAGUUCGGAUUGUGGGCUGCAACUCGCCCACAUGAAGCUGGAAUCUGUAGUAAUCGUGUUUCAAAUAGCACGGUGAAUAUGUCCCUGCUCCUU